AGCAGGUUCGACCUCCGGUGAUUGGUGCGCAGUGCAUGCUGGAUAGUUGUUUUAUUCCCCGUGAUCCCCAAAAUGCCGGUGUCGUGACUAAAAAUGACUGUUUAACAAGGGUCGAUUGCUGGACGCGGAGCCCGCACCGCCUCGAAAAGACGUAUAUCGGUCUAGGAGUACAGCUGUUUUUUUUUGGGUUUGAACUGCCAUAACGUGUAGAUACUGUCUGCUACAAGUUUUCCAGUGGUCGUAGUGAUGCUACGUCUUUUAUAUUUUGCGUAAACAAUCGUAAUAACCAUCGUAAUUCUGCUCUACAGCAGUCGUCGAUUGUGACUGUUUAACUCUAUGACAUGACGCCAGGACUCAGCAGAUCUACGACUCAUUCAUACAGCGACAUAUGUUUACUCCACGUGUUGUGUCUGCUGAAACUAGACUAACGACGAGGACAGUUUAUACUGUAUGGAAUUAAAAACAGCGUGUGGAGCAGAGCAGCACCUGAGCUCCACAGCAGCAGGAGCAGGUGAUCCAUGUCCAGCUUUAGUCUCGGACCCUUCUUGGACCCUGUCGGACCCUUGUGUCUUCAGCGAAGAUCUGAUCCAGAACCAGGUGUCGGGUGUCCUGUCCAGGUGGACCUACCUCUCCCCCUGUGACAGCUUGGUGGUUACCCCAACCCCAGGAAUGGUGAUAGAUGGAUGGAUACAAGGCUGUCUCAUUACAUACUGUAUAGGACUGUUGUUUGUUACCAUAACAACCCAGACGGGCUAAGACGCAACAAUUAAAUUAAUGUGGUUAGUGUUUUUCUCCCUCUCAACAGUUUGUUGGACGGUAAAAUGGGUCUACAUAAUGAAACAGGUCCAAGAGCAACAUCACUGAGGGGUUUCUGUACCAGCAUGCAGUGCAGCUGUGUGGGGCCAUGACAGAAGUGCAUUCAUCUCACCCACCAGCCAUCAGGUCAUAUGAAACCAUUGAGCCUCCACACGCUGCUCUUUGUUGCCAUGAAGGGUCCUGCACUGGUUGAAAUGGUUCCACAACCUGCAGAGCAUUUCCAGUGUGCUUCGCUGAUAGGAAGCAGCUGCUCCAUAGGCUACAACCAAUUUCAUCUAUGAUCAAAAUUAAUUUGAUGUAAUUAAAAUUGCAGGGAAGUUAGACUGGUUUUGGUUGAUAAAUGGUUCCAAACAAACACACAGAUGAUCAGUCAAACAGGCUACAUUUCGAAGUCAUCUCUGAUAGUGAAGUUUCCUCUUUUACCGCCUUCAUCAUCCUCUGCAGCCUGGUUUCACCAUCAGCCCUCCUGACUUUCUCUAAUACAACUACAAAAUCAAAAUUAUCAUGAAUAAAUGAGUCACUCUAGAAAAAACGCUGGCCUUCACCUCACCACCCGCUUCUGGCCACUUCUCCAAAACAAAAAAAAAAAUCCCCCAAAACUGGCUGCUCAAAUGUGUCAUUGAACCCCUGUGCUACAAAUGACAGGCCAGGCAGAGCUUAGCCCGUCCUCCACCAUCUCCACAAACAAUAAAUCCUCUGUCUCUGUGCUCUAAACGAGGAUAAAAUGAGCUUCUGACCGAAAGAUACCAGCUUUAAUCCCACUUUGGCAACAUAAAAACAUCUUACUGGUUUAAUUGGUCUCAUGAAUGUUAAAAGUGGUGAAAUAUGGUUUUGUCGUGGUUUAUGAUGCAGAGCAGGACACGCCACUAACCUAGUCGAUAUUUUUAAUUUCAUACAGUACAAACUGUCCUCGGCGUUAGUCUAGUUUCAGCAGAUAGAAAAUGUGGAGUAAAGAUAUGUAGAACAAACAUGUCGCUGUAUGAGGUAAGACGUGACAUCACUACAACCACUGGGAAACUUGUAGCGGACAGUGAUUACACGUUAUGGCAGUUCAAACUCGAAACAAGCAGCUGUCCUAGACCGAUAUACGUUUUUACGAGGCGGUGCGGGUCCCGCGUACAGCAUCUGACUUUUGUUAGACAGUCAUUUUUUGUCACGACACAUUCAGUGAUCAACUCAUCAGAUCAAGGCGGUCGCAGCUUUUAGAUCUAGGCGCUGCAAUUUGUAUAAGCACACCAUCAUCUGUUUAAAAAUCGACAGUUACACCAAAUAUGAAAUUACAUUUCAUUCACUCUGCAUCUAAACUCUCUGCAUUCCACCUGUUGGACGGGGUUUUAGUUAACAUUUCAUACCUAGUUUCAAGUCCACACUAAUCAUUUUCCCAGGAGGGUGCAGAGUGUCAAUGUGGACUUUAAAGAGAAAUGACUUAUUUGUCUAAUGAUUAUGAAUUAGAGAAAUGUAUACUCUUAGUAAUCAUAAUUUAUAACAUAAUGUUGAAUAUCAUUUAGGCCCUUGAGAUAGGCCUACAUUAUAACUAUUAACCUGUAGUUCACUGCAAUACUCCUAAAUAUGUUAAGCCAUGACGUUGCAGUGCUCUACCUAUAAUACAGUGUCUGUGUACAGUUUAAAAUGACAAACAAUUAAAACAAACAA